rnacentral:lncRNA from 1 species
UCUAGAGGCAAGAAGUCUGAGAUCAAGGUGUCAGCAGGGCUGGUUUCCUCUGAGGGCUGUGCGGGAAGGAUCUGUUCCAGGCCUCUCUGACUUGGUAAAGAGGCACUUUGCUGGGCCAAGAACCCCAUGUGGGGCUGUGACAGGCAGAAGGAUGGCUCCUUGAAGAUACUCAUGUCCUAAUUCCCAGAACAUGUGAAUAUGCUACUUCAACAGCAAAAGGGACGUUGCAGAUGUAAAUUACGGACCUCGAGACCGGGAGAUUAUUCUGGAUUGUCUGGUGGACCCACUGUAAUCACAAGGUUCAUAUAAGGGAAAUAGGGAAGCAGGAGAGUCGGAGAAGGAGAUGGGAUGAUGGAGGCAGAGGUUGGAGUGAUGCAAUUGCUAGCUUUGAAGGUAGAGGAAGAGACCUUAAGCCAAGGAAUGUGGGUGGCUUCUAGAAGCUAAAAAAAGGCAAACAAACAAACAAACAACAACCCUGCAACAGAUUCUUCCCUAGACCCUCCAGAAGGAACACUGCCUUGCUAACACCUUGAUUUUAGCCCAGUAAAAUUCAUUUUGAACUUCUAACCUGCAGAACCAU